AUAGAUGGAUCCGCGCUGCAUUAGCUAGUUGGUAAGGUAACGGCUUACCAAGGCAACGAUGCAUAGCCGACCUGAGAGGGUGAUCGGCCACACUGGAACUGAGACACGGUCCAGACUCCUACGGGAGGCAGCAGUAGGGAAUCUUCCGCAAUGGGCGAAAGCCUGACGGAGCAACGCCGCGUGAGUGAUGAAGGUCUUCGGAUCGUAAAACUCUGUUAUUAGGGAAGAACAUAUGUGUAAGUAACUGUGCACAUCUUGACGGUACCUAAUCAGAAAGCCACGGCUAACUACGUGCCAGCAGCCGCGGUAAUACGUAGGUGGCAAGCGUUAUCCGGAAUUAUUGGGCGUAAAGCGCGCGUAGGCGGUUUUUUAAGUCUGAUGUGAAAGCCCACGGCUCAACCGUGGAGGGUCAUUGGAAACUGGAAAACUUGAGUGCAGAAGAGGAAAGUGGAAUUCCAUGUGUAGCGGUGAAAUGCGCAGAGAUAUGGAGGAACACCAGUGGCGAAGGCGACUUUCUGGUCUGUAACUGACGCUGAUGUGCGAAAGCGUGGGGA
rnacentral:rRNA from 1 species